ACUCCUCAUCCGAUCCUAGUGGACAUGAUCUUGAUCUUUCUUAAUGUGCUUGCCCUCCUAUAACAUCUAGCACAACCUCCUUCCGAUGUGAGAUCCCUUGAUCCCUGCGCGUUCCGCUCAACACACCGUACUCUUGAGGCCCUAAGCUUUGAUACCAACUGUAACAGCCCGCAUCUCCGGACCGCCACCGGCGCUAGGAUCCAGAUCGGCUUAAGGCCGCCGGGACCCGUAGCAAGCCACUAGAC
rnacentral:lncRNA from 1 species